CCUACGGGGGGCAGCAGUGGGGAAUAUUGGACAAUGGGGGGAACCCUGAUCCAGCCAUGCCGCGUGUGUGAAGAAGGCCCUCGGGUUGUAAAGCACUUUCAGUGAGGAAGAACGCCUGGUGGUUAAUACCCAUCAGGAAAGACAUCACUCACAGAAGAAGCACCGGCUAACUCCGUGCCAGCAGCCGCGGUAAUACGGAGGGUGCGAGCGUUAAUCGGAAUUACUGGGCGUAAAGCGCGCGUAGGUGGCUUGAUAAGCCGGUUGUGAAAGCCCCGGGCUCAACCUGGGAACGGCAUCCGGAACUGUCAAGCUAGAGUGCAGGAGAGGAAGGUAGAAUUCCCGGUGUAGCGGUGAAAUGCGUAGAGAUCGGGAGGAAUACCAGUGGCGAAGGCGGACUUCUGGACUGACACUGACACUGAGGUGCGAAAGCGUGGGUAGCGAACAGGAUUAGAUACCCGGGUAGUC
rnacentral:rRNA from 1 species